UGCAGGGCAGAGGAGAGCCAUCACCAAGCCCAGCAGACUACCAUAGACAAGCACACAGAAAUGAGCAGACAAGGACUAUGGAAACCAGGGUUGAAAUAAGAGGGCUGAUACUAAAGGUUGUGGAAUGAAGAGUCAGACAGGAUUUGCACGGCUCCCUGAAUGUUGGGGCAGAACAUGUCAUCCAUGGAAAUUGACUUAUUUUGUUCUACAAGGUGACCUGUGCAUCUGUAUAGAUGGAGAUUUUCUAAGCAACCGCCACCCUCCUAUCCCCCCCCCCCACCUUGAUGAAUGCAAAGACUCCUCACAAGGCUCCGUAUCUAUCCCGUGGCCCUGUAGACACAGAGGAGAAGGAAUGAUAUGGUUCCAGGAAGUGCCUGUGAACACUUUGGGAAGGCUCGAUGUCUCCGAAGGCAUCACGAGGCUUGGACAGACACAAGUGUGUACUGUGAAAGGACACUUCACAUCCCCAAAACACCAAGGCUUUCUGAAGGGGUCUUCAGUGUGGCUCUCCAGCAGCCCCUGCAUCAGAGUCUGUAAAAGGACUGGCUUUUACUCUGCUUAUCUUGCUGCCUUUAUUUAG
ensembl:lncRNA